rnacentral:tRNA from 1 species
GGUGUAGUUCAGUGGUAGAGUGUGUGCUUAGCAUGCAUGAGGGCCUUGGUUCAAUCCCCUGCACACA